GACGAACGCUGGCGGCGUGCCUAAUACAUGCAAGUCGAACGCAGUGGGGACGGGUGAGUAACAAGUGGGUAACCUGCCAUCAGAGGGGACAACACGUGGAAACAGGUGCUAAACCGAUACUGAUGGCUGAACCCGCGGUGCAUUUGCUAGUUGGUGGGGUAACGGCUCAUCAAGGCCACGAUGCAUAGCCGACCUGAGAGGGUGACCGGCCACACUGGGACUGAUACACGGCCCAGACUCCUACGGGAGGCAGCAGUAUGGAAUCUUCGGCAAUGGACGAAAGUCUGACCGAGCAACGCCGCGUGAGUGAAGAAGGUUUUCGGAUCGUAAAACUCUGUUGUUAGAGAAGCGGUAUCUAACCAGAAAGCCACGGCUAACUACGUGCCAGCAGCCGCGGUAAUUC
rnacentral:rRNA from 1 species